GAUAGCGUGGACGAGUGGUUAUGGCUACAGACUGUUAAGACUGUAAUCUUCGGAUGCGUGAGUUCGAAUCUCUCCGCUGUCU